AUGCAAGUCGAACGAUCUGUAGCAAUACAGGGAGGUGGCGGACGGGUGAGGAACACGUAGGAAUCUACCUUGAAGAGCGGGACAACUUUGGGAAACCGGGGCUAAUACCGCAUAGUACAGAGAUGUUAAAGGGCUAGCAAUAGUCGCUUCGAGAUGAGCCUGCGGUCUAUCAGCUUGUUGGUGAGGUAAUGGCUCACCAAGGCUACGACGGAUAGCCGGUCUGAGAGGAUGAUCGGCCACACUGGCACUGAGACACGGGCCAGACUCCUACGGGAGGCAGCAGUUAAGAAUCUUGCGCAAUGGGGAAACCCUGACGCAGCGACGCCGCGUGAAGGAUGAAGGCUUUCGGGUUGUAAACUUCGGUAGACUGGGAAGAAGAAAUACGUUCGUUGAGGGCGUAUAGUGACGGUACCAGUCUGAAGCCCCGGCUAAUUACGUG
rnacentral:rRNA from 1 species